UACUGGGGACGGAGGGUAGCCGAUGGGGCCCUGAGCAGGACGUGCCUCUUCUGGACUUGACCACAGAACCCAAGCAUGGUUCAAGCGAUUCUCCUGCUUCAGCCUCCUGAGUAGUUGGGAUUACAGAUGCCCGCCACCGCACCCAGUCACAGAUGGACUCUGAGAGAGAAAAUAGCACCCCUGUCCAAACAUCACAUGCCUGGCGGAGGAACGCAGCCUGGCCUGUGCAGCCGAAUGUUGGAGAGUGCACCUUCCUCUCUUAUUUUGUUUUAUUUCCAGGGAAAGGGAAAGGAAGACAUGCAGGUAAUUUAUCAACUAAAUUACAGGCUGACUGAUAAUAAAGCUCCCCGCCCCACAAAAAAAGGAAA
rnacentral:lncRNA from 1 species